GACGAACGCUGGCGGCGUGCUUAACACAUGCAAGUCGAGCGGAAAGGCUCCUUCGGGGGUACUCGAGCGGCGAACGGGUGAGUAACACGUGAGUAAUCUGCCCUUGGCUUUGGGAUAGCCACCGGAAACGGUGAUUAAUACCGGAUAUGACCACUUCUCGCAUGGGAUGGUGGUGGAAAGUUUUUCGGCCAGGGAUGUGCUCGCGGCCUAUCAGCUUGAUGGUGAGGUAAUGGCUCACCAUGGCUUCGACGGGUAGCCGGCCUGGGAGGGUGGCCGGUCACACUGGGAGGGAGACACGGCCCAGACUCCUACGGGAGGCAGCAGUGGGGAAUAUUGGACAAUGGGCGGAAGCCAGAGCCAGCAACGCCGCGUGAGGGAUGAAGGCCGUCGGGUUGUAAACCUCUUUCGCCUAUGACGAAGCGAUCCUGUUGGGUGAGUGACGGUAGUAGGUAAAGAAGCACCGGCCAACUACGUGCCAGCCGCCGCGGUAAAAC
rnacentral:rRNA from 1 species